UGGGGAAUAUUGGACAAUGGGCGAAAGCCUGAUCCAGCCAUGCCGCGUGUGUGAAGAAGGUCUUCGGAUUGUAAAGCACUUUAAGUUGGGAGGAAGGGCAUUAACCUAAUACGUUAGUGUUUUGACGUUACCGACAGAAUAAGCACCGGCUAACUCUGUGCCAGCAGCCGCGGUAAUACAGAGGGAGCAAGCGUUAAUCGGAAUUACUGGGCGUAAAGCGCGCGUAGGUGGUUUGUUAAGUUGGAUGUGAAAGCCCCGGGCUCAACCUGGGAACUGCAUCCAAAACUGGCAAGCUAGAGUACGGUAGAGGGUGGUGGAAUUUCCUGUGUAGCGGUGAAAUGCGUAGAUAUAGGAAGGAACACCAGUGGCGAAGGCGACCACCUGGACUGAUACUGACACUGAGGUGCGAAAGCGUGGGGAGCAAACA
rnacentral:rRNA from 1 species